GUAAGUAAUACUUGAAGUCUUGAAUUACUCGUCCCGCCAUUUAAAGCAGACUACAUUAAAACGUUUAGCACUGUGGCAAUACGAAAGAUUUCGGCUCCAGAAAUCGUGAGAAAAAUGAAGGAAUCGCUGAAUGACAGUGGGCAAUGGAAGUCGAGGAACGAGUAGGAACAGUGACCGAUAGUUGAAUUUUUGUAAUAGGUGUAGACGGAUCACAAGACGACAUUGUUUGGCCAAACUCGGUGGAUUGUACCAUUGCUUCUGGAGUAUCUUCAAAUGUGUGUCUGGUAGAUCGGUAAGUAAUUCUUCUACCCGCCGUUGCAGCAUAGAAUCCCAGCAACGAGGAUUAUACGAAUCGAUCAUAAAAACGAAAAGAUCGUGAUCUCUGUUUCGUAAACUCCAGUAAAUGGCGCUUCUUCCUUUCGAAUCCAUUCGCGUGGGGUCGGCACCUGCCGCCAUUAGAAACAUGGCCAACUGAUGCCUACCUCUGUAUCCAAGGGAGGUAUAAUACCGCUAAAUAUAAGGGGCAUUGGCUCCAUGAGUAAUCCUCGGUGGAACCGAGUCUCGAACCAGCAGCUAAUAACUUUGCGACGAGUAACGGCCUUUGCCCUUUUGUAGCCACCCUACAAUGACGUGGAGAAACGGGUAACAUGCAAGCUGGUGAUUUGAUUCGAGAGAGUUGAGUAGACCAAAUGGCGUACCAUAGAGGGGUGUGCCCAUAGAAGUCGCUCGCAUUCAAGUCUGCACCAGCUCGGAUGAGCAUUUCCGCCAAUUCGUCGUCUUUCAGCCUGUGCAUGUCACAAUGUCAAGCUUCCCAAUUGUGAAAUCAAUCGACAGUGGACAGUGGAGUGCAGCUUGUAAAAACUAACCUGCACGCGGUGUAGAGAGGUGGUUCGAGCCGGCCAUUGGAGCCAUGGCUCGGGACACUGUAAUCCAAAAUCGAUGCAGACGAAUAAGUGUUCGCUGACUUGCAUAAAUACUUGACACCAUUGCAAAAAUAUUCAAUAAACUGACCUUGCGUCUGCGCCUGCGCUCAAAAGUACUUGGACCAUAGCUUUAUCCUGAGAAGAUAUGGCCGUUCCUAAAAGGGUUAUACCUCUAUAGAUGGCGUCAGGAUCCCCGCCUGCUGCCAACAGUCGACUCACUUCCUGAACCUGUCCGAUCUUGACCUACAAAAUUAAACGAACAAAUAAUAAAUACACUUGGUUUCAUUUUAAGUAGAACUUUACCACCAAGUGUAACUCCGCUGGAGAUAUGCGUGCUCUCAUCUUUUCCGUCCGAGAUGAUCCAAGGAUGUGUUGAAGCCCAAAUUCGAUGCACGACUCGUGUUGGAAGCUACAGACGUUAGAGAAAGCAAAGCAGCUCCCCCCUAACCAUUUCAAAAAUAGAUUUGUGUAAUCGUAUGCCUCCAUAUGCUAUUCCGAGACUCCUCAACAAACUGGCUACGAAACUGCAGAAUCGGUCAAAACUAAUAAUAACUUGAACAUUUCUGUCCACCUGCCAAAUCUGAUUUGGUACAUUCGACCACUAUUGGUAUUGAUAGAAAUUGGAGUAAGACCAAACACGAAACGCAACAAAUAUGUACACUAAUUCUUGCCUAUUGUAUUGAUUUUUUAUAACGUAAUCGGCUUACAAGGCCUUCUUUCGUUAAAAAUCAGGGUAGACUUGCCCUUGGGUUGCACAUAUUCAACAGAGAAGGGUAGUGAGCCUUAUUUUGUUGCUUAUUCCCAGUCAUGUUAUACAAACAAUUGAGGCAGGAAA